UACGAAGGGGGCUAGCGUUGCUCGGAAUGACUGGGCGUAAAGGGCGCGUAGGCGGUUUGUACAGUCAGGUGUGAAAUUCCCGGGCUCAACCUGGGGGCUGCACUUGAUACGUAGGAACUGGAGUGGGGAAGAGGGUCGUGGAAUUCCCAGUGUAGAGGUGAAAUUCGUAGAUAUUGGGAAGAACACCGGUGGCGAAGGCGGCGCUCUGGACCGAGACUGACGCUGAGGCGCGAAAGCGUGGGGAGCAAACAGG
rnacentral:rRNA from 1 species